AUUUCCUUUUAUACAGACCUGUGUUUGGUUAAUUUUAAAAAUAAUUAUUCUGAGUUUUCAUAGAGAGGAGAGUCAGAGACACAGCAUGUUCCAGCCUACAAGACACAGCUACUAAAGCACCAUGCUUAAAACCCUUAUUUUUACCAGGACAGAAGUGUUAUUUAUCACUGCCUCUCCUUAUCAACGAGUUGGAAUUGUCUCUCUUCUCCUGUCCUCAUCACUCCUUGGAAAGCUGAGCCUGGGGAUGAGGAUUCCUGCAGGCUUACAGGUAAGGGCACCUGAGAAGAGACAGGAGAACCUGCUGAGGUUUAGGUACAGCACCCACCACCAUU
rnacentral:lncRNA from 1 species